AAGUCAAUAGACUUAUAAAAUAUUCCUAUCUUAGAUGUUGUAAGGAAUUUUAUAAGUAAAAAUCAUUUAUACCUUCGAAGAAGGUUCAACUUCUUGGCGUGACAAAGCUCGGAGGCAAUACGCCUCACAUAUGUGAUUAAGAUCAAUACAAUUCUCAUUUGUUUGAUUCCGAUAAAUUUCUAUGACUUGUGUCAUAGAAUGUAUGCAUCCUUUAAUAUUGCCAGAAUGUCUCAGUUGCUUUGCAUCUUUAAGUUUGCCUUCCAUCUUCACAGAAAAGUAUAUAACAUUAAUUUAGUAUUGAUUAGUCAAAAUAUACUAACAUAAACUUGGAUUAAUCAAACUAAGACACACUAAAUACUAGCAAAAAUCAUCACUUAACAUGAUUUUCACACUAACAUUUAUUGAUUAAUCAAAAUAUACUAACAUAAACAUGAUUAAUCAAACUAAGACACACUAAAUACUAGCAAAAAUCCUCACUUAACAUGAUUACACGCUAACUUUUUUUAAAAAGGGUUUAUAACUUAUCAUUUUUUCUUCCAAUUUUACCCCCGUCAUCUUUCUUGAAAAAAAUUAAUUAUUAAUUAAACAUAUCUUUUUGCGUCAUUUCAUAUUUAUAAGCUAGUUCAAUCGCUAAUUUUAACAAACACUGCAAAUUCAAUCAUCAGCUAGCUUAUUCGCUAUAAGCUAAAAAUUAGCUUAUCAACUAUCAGCUAUGUUUUACCAAACAGAGUCUGUAGUUGAUCACUUAAAUUACAACUUUUAAUCUUGACCACUUAUUUUGAUCCAACAGUUAAUAACUGUUCUCAUUAUUCUCACCUAAAAUACUCAUUCUCACUUAACUACAUAUAAUAAACAAAUUAUCAAUGCAUUUACCUGCGAUCCCAACACAGAUGAGAAGCUCUUCAUGCUCUCAUCAUUAAUCAAAGAAAUUACAGUCAGAAGAAAUAUACCACUCGUCAUCAAUGAUAUCAUCGGAUCAUCAACAUUUACACUGAAGUUGCUUCUACUAUUACCUGACAGUGGAAAUAGCAAAUCGAGAUUAAGUAGAGAUAAAAUGACACAACAAACAAAACAUGAAAAAUCAGAUACUAAGCAAGACAUUGUUUCAACCACCCAAUUCAAAAUACAAGAUUUAUACGGGUUAUUCACAACAUUACACAGAACUCAUUCUACUCAAUCAUGUCAAUUAUCACAGUUAUAACAAAAGACACCUAAAUAAACUAUCGACAAAAGCAUCGUGAAUCAAACAAGCUAGUCAGUGUUUUAAAAAAGAAUGGUAAGUACCUUUCUCUCUUUGUUUUGUUUUGUUUUAUUUCCCUGCUAUUUUUUUUCUGAUUUCCUCCUUUUUCUCUUUUUUUUUUUUUGGAUAUGAGGUUGCUUU
rnacentral:lncRNA from 1 species